rnacentral:lncRNA from 1 species
AACCCUUACUCCUUUUUGUUCAGUCUCUUUCUAAGGUCAGUGGUGGAUCAGAGCUAGAGUUAGGAAGAAAUUUUUAAAAGGAGGGUUUCAAUUGCUCUUUGAAUUUGUCAAGAAAGUCCUGCUACCCAAUUUUGAGAAACGUUCAAUUACUUCUACAACAGAUAUUUUUCUCAUGGAGCUUCCAACAAGUUUGAGUAGAUCAAUGUUCCUACCUUGAUAAUUGAGCAUUUGUAU